rnacentral:rRNA from 1 species
AUUGAACGCUGGCGGCAGGCCUAACACAUGCAAGUCGAACGGUAACAGGAAGCAGCUUGCUGCUUCGCUGACGAGUGGCGGACGGGUGAGUAAUGUCUGGGAAGCUGCCUGAUGGAGGGGGAUAACUACUGGAAACGGUAGCUAAUACCGCAUAAUGUCGCAAGACCAAAGAGGGGGACCUUCGGGCCUCUUGCCAUCGGAUGUGCCCAGAUGGGAUUAGCUUGUUGGUGGGGUAACGGCUCACCAAGGCGACGAUCCCUAGCUGGUCUGAGAGGAUGACCAGCCACACUGGAACUGAGACACGGUCCAGACUCCUACGGGAGGCAGCAGUGGGGAAUAUUGCACAAGGGGCGCAAGCCUGAUGCAGCCAUGCCGCGUGUAUGAAGAAGGCCGUCGGGUUGUAAAGUACUUUCAGCGGGGAGGAAGGGAGUAAAGUUAAUACCUUUGCUCAGUGACGUUACCCGCAGAAGAAGCACCGGCUAACUCCG